GACGAACGCUGGCGGCGUGCUUAACACAUGCCAGUCGAACGGAAAGGCCCUGCUUUUGUGGGGUGCUCGAGUGGCGAACGGGUGAGUAACACGUGAGUAACCUGCCCUUGACUUUGGGAUAACGUCAGGAAACUGGGGCUAAUACCGGAUAGGAGCUCCUGCUGCAUGGUGGGGGUUGGAAAGUUCCGGCGGUUGGGGAUGGACUCGCGGCUUAUCAGCUUGUUGGUGGGGUAGUGGCUUACCAAGGCUUUGACGGGUAGCCGGCCUGGGAGGGUGACCGGCGACAUUGCGCCUGAGGUACGGCCCAGUCUGCUACGGGGGGCAGCGGCGGGGAAUAUUGCACAGUGGGCGGAAGCCUGAUGCAGAGGCGCUGCGUGCGGGAUCACGGCCUUCGGGUGGUGAACCGCUUUCGCCUGUGACGAAGCGUGAGUGACGGUAAUGGGUAAAGAAGCACCGGCUAACUACGUG
rnacentral:rRNA from 1 species